GGCACCCCUGAGGGGUCCCCGUGUUGAGGAUCAGCAUGGCAGAUAUGAUGUUGCCUACCCUCACCACCUGGGGCGGCCUGUCAGGAAGUCCAGGAUCCAGUUACAAAUUGUUGCCUACCCUCACCACCUGGGGGCGGCUCAUUAGGAAAUGACAGGAUCCAGACGCAACUGGUUUCAAGUGGCCAAGAGAACUCAUGUGAUCUCCGACUGCUAGCGAGUGGACGAACUGGGAAUCAGACAAGGGAACAUUUACAUCAAUGUAUGGAUAGAGACUUCAGCUUUCUUCUCAUGUGUAUAUCCUGUCAAACGAUAAACGUUGCACAAACCCCGCACUUUUAAAAUGGCUCUGUUCCUAUGGAAAUGUGCACAUGUUUAGAGAGAGUAAUUGGUUACAUAUUUCAUGUCGAACCUAGACUUUCAAAUCUCUUAUUCCCCAACAACUGACAAUUGGGACCUCCCCCCUAUCUCGGGCUCUGUAAUAGUCACAUUGUUUCUGACGCUUAUCAGAAUCCCACAGUUCUUAGCUUUCUAACAGUACUUAACUGUCGUUCUGCCCCUGAGCAAGGGAGUUAACCCACUGUUCCCCGGGCGCCGAUGACGUGAAUGUCGAUUAAGGCAGACCCCGCACAUCUCUGAUUCAGAGUGGUUGGGUUAAAUGCGUGAGACACAUUUUAGUUGAAUACAUUCAGUUUUACAACUGACUAGGUAUUCCCUUUCCCUUUCCCUAAGCAUGUUUCUGUAAGGACCGAAAUGUACUUUAUGAGGGCAGUAUACAAUAUUAUGCAUCGUUUAUAAAAUGCCACCAGAGGGCGUCAGAGUUGAACAGGUUAAGAACAGCUAUGGCUACAGACAAAUAGGUAUUCGUUGGUAUAAGUACUUUAAGGAAUGAGCAGCAUUGCAGCAUGAUUUCAACAAGCACUUCACCUGUCAUUGCAAUACAAUUCUAACUAGGCCUCUACACAAACAGCAGUAGAGCUAAGUAUUGCUUCCCCCCCAAAAA
ensembl:lncRNA